rnacentral:rRNA from 1 species
GACGUAGGGCGCGAGCGUUGUCCGGAUUUAUUGGGCGUAAAGAGCUCGUAGGCGGUCUGUCGCGUCGGCUGUGAAAACCCGGGGCUCAACCCCGGGCCUGCAGUCGAUACGGGCAGACUAGAGUGCGGUAGGGGAGACUGGAAUUCCUGGUGUAGCGGUGAAAUGCGUAGAUAUCUGGAGGAACACCGGUGGCGAAGGCGGCAUCCUGGACCAAUUCUGACGCUGAGGAGCGAAAGCCAGGGGAGCAAACGGG